UACGUAGGUGGCAUGCGUUGUUCGGAAUUACUGGGCGUAAAGCGCACGUAGGCGGACUUGUAAGUCAGGGGUGAAAUCCCGGGGCUCAACCCCGGAACUGCCUUUGGUACUGGUAGUCUAGAGUCCGAGAGAGGUGAGUGGAAUUCCGAGUGUAGAGGUGAAAUUCGUAGAUAUUCGGAGGAACACCAGUGGCGAAGGCGGCUCACUGGCUCGGUACUGACGCUGAGGUGCGAAAGCGUGGGGAGCAAACAGG
rnacentral:misc_RNA from 1 species